rnacentral:rRNA from 1 species
UACGAAGGGGGCUAGCGUUGUUCGGAAUUACUGGGCGUAAAGGGCGCGUAGGCGGUCUUGUAAGUCAGAUGUGAAAGCCCCGGGCUCAACCCGGGAAUAGCAUUUGAUACUGCGUGGCUGGAGUGCGGGAGAGGUUGGCGGAAUUCCCGGUGUAGCGGUGAAAUUCGUAGAUAUUGGGAGGAACACCGGUGGCGAAGGCGGCCUUCUGGAACGGCACUGACGCUGAUGCGCGAAAGCAUGGGGAGCGAACAGG